rnacentral:rRNA from 1 species
ACAUCCAGCGAAUUCGGUAGAGAUACCUUAGUGCCUUCGGGAACGCUGAGACAGGUGCUGCAUGGCUGUCGUCAGCUCGUGUUGUGAAAUGUUGGGUUAAGUCCCGCAACGAGCGCAACCCUUAUCCUUUGUUGCCAGCGGUCCGGCCGGGAACUCAAAGGAGACUGCCAGUGAUUAAACUGGAGGAAGGUGGGGAUGACGUCAAGUCAUCAUGGCCCUUACGAGUAGGGCUACACACGUGCUACAAUGGCGCAUACAAAGAGAAGCGACCUCGCGAGAGCAAGCGGACCUCAUAAAGUGCGUCGUAGUCCGGAUUGGAGUCUGCAACUCGACUCCAUGAAGUCGGAAUCGCUAGUAAUCGUAGAUCAGAAUGCUACGGUGAAUACGUUCCCGGGCCUUGUACACACCGCCCGUCACACCAUGGGAGUGGGUUGCAAAAGAAGUAGGUAGCUUAACCUUCGGGAGGGCGCUUACCACUUUGUGAUUCAUGACUGGGGUGAAGUCGUAACAAGGUAAGCGUAGAUGA